rnacentral:rRNA from 1 species
GACGAACGCUGGCGGCGCGCUUAACACAUGCAAGUCGAACGCUGAAGCUCAGCUUUUGUUGGGUGGAUGAGUGGCGAACGGGUGAGUAACACGUGAGUAACCUGCCCCCUUCUUUGGGAUAACGCCCGGAAACGGGUGCUAAUACUGGAUAUUCACUGGUCUUCGCAUGGGGGUUGGUGGAAAGGGUUUUUCUGGUGGGGGAUGGGCUCGCGGCCUAUCAGCUUGUUGGUGGGGUGAUGGCCUACCAAGGCUUUGACGGGUAGCCGGCCUGAGAGGGUGACCGGUAACAUUGGGACUGAGAUACGGCCCAGACUCCUACGGGAGGCAGCAGUGGGGAAUAUUGCACAAUGGGCGCAAGCCUGAUGCAGCGACGCCGCGUGAGGGAUGGAGGCCUUCGGGUUGUGAACCUCUUUCGCUCAUGGUCAAGCCGCAACAAUGGUUGUGGUGAGGGUAGUGGGUAAAGAAGCGCCGGCUAACUACGUG